rnacentral:lncRNA from 1 species
UUGCUUCAUCAUCCAUUAGAAUAUCUUCUAAGGCUUCAGAAGUAGUUGGAGGGUUGGAAAAUUCAGCCAGGCUGAUGAAAUUGUCAGGUUCUUGAUCUGUGCUUAAACACACCGGAGAUGCUGAGAUGAGAUCAGGUACUUCAUAAUCUGUGUCAUGUUAGAUGAUUCCCCAAAUUUGUUGCUAUUUAUAUCCAUCACAUUGUUGGUUUCCAUUGUGUUCUGGAAGACAGGUCGAAGUGCAUCUUUGAAGCUCGGUUGGCAUGUCAGAGCGUCAAACUCAGGUUUCUGAGUGAAUCUUUCCAACUGCAAUCCCAUCAUAUGGGAAUCCCAUGGAGGUCUGUUUGUGACUUGAGCUGAUCCCAGGCUAGGACUAAAAGUUUCCAUCGCGACAGGAGGCAAAACUGAAGUAGUACCAGUGUUCAACAACUGUAAAAUGUUACCUACCAGUAGAACUUUUGCGAGACGAGCAGCAUCCUCUUGAGAUCUCACAAUACCUUCCCAGGUAAGAUUUCUUGAACUAUUAUAGCUGAGAAGCUGAGGUAAUACAGGUAACAAGGUAUCAAGAUGAGUUCUUGGCAUAUGAGUAUCGGGGUCUAUCCCAUUCCGAAGCAGCUUUUUCUUCAGACGAGUAUUCCAGAAGUUCUUGAUCUCGUUAUCGGUUCUCCCUGGCAGGUAACUAGCUAUGACCGACCACCUGGAAACAUAAAAGGGUAAUAAUCAUCAAAUGCAUCAAAGGCUACAAGUUACAUAUUGAGGUUAGUUCAUUACUUGUUGCCUAGCUCUGCAUGAAGAUCGAUAAUGACCCUUUCUUCCUCGUCAGUAAAGGCUCCUCUCUUGAUAUCGGGGCGGAGAUAAUUUGUCCAACGCAGGCGGCAGCUCUUCCCGCACCUAUUGAGCCCCGCAAGCUUUGGCAGCUCUUUCCAGCUGCCAUGGCCGUGUUUCUGAAUGCAGUCAACGAGCAUCCGGUCUUCUUCAG